GUCACCGCCCAGUGGGACCGGUCUCAGAGCUGGGACAGAGCUGCCCAUGCCACACGGCCAACCAGGCGGCUAAACGUGGUCUUGCGCCCUCUCGAGAGUCCUUCCGUUCGUGGCCUCUGAGACCAACCGCGGGGGAGAGCCCUCGGCCGCCGGCCCCUCACAGAGAUGGCUCCCUUCUCCCAGAGUCCUUCAAACAAGAGCCAAGAGCUGGGGAAGCCACAGAAAUGAAGCUCAACUCCCUCCUUUUAGAGAUGAGGAGAGAGCAGGAGAGACCACCCCAAGCAAAACUUCCCACCAAGUUGGCGAAAGGAACAAGAGGAAAUGACCAAGGCUGGGGGCUCUUGUGGCCCAACUAUUCCUGCGUUCUGCCUCAUAUGGCCUGGCAAGGGGCAGACCGAGCAGCAAGGUCCAUGCUGUCCCCUGCGCUGACCACCUCCCUACGUGAGAGGCCCUGCAGAGGAAUGCUGCACGUGCAGAGCAGGGAGCCUACUUUCAUAGCAGGUGAUGCACGUGAAAAGCCUGAAACCAGCACCAUGAACUUUCUCCUGAGGAAGGUAGAGGCCAGAAAGCCAGAAGAGGAAAGAGCUCAUCUCCAGAAACAGGGGCUGCCCAUGACUUGGCUGCUCUAGAUUCUGGGCCAGGACCCUCGUCAAGAAGCACCUCCCAACUCUGAGCCCCAACCCAUUUUCAACCCAUUCCUGGUUCUCAUAUUCACUUCCUCUUUGGAGAGGCAGCAAGACCCUUUUUGUAGGCAUCAGGUAAGGAACAGGGAGAUGGAAAAGGACAGUAAUGUGAGGGUGGGAAGGGAAGGAGAUGGGACAAAUGCAGAGAUGGCCUGAGAAGAGUGUGGGAGAAGGGACAUCUAAGCAGCUGGCCUAGGAGAAAGCUCAAGAACCUGCCUCCCUCUCCAACCCUGCACCCUCAAAGGCAGCAGCCAGGGCCCAGUGAGGUGCCAGAGAGAACCCAGUAUAGGCAGUGGGGGCAGGGCCCAGGCACAAGCAACCCAUUGUGGCCACAAACACA